UUUCCUUUUGAUAGUGGCUUUUAAGAUUGGUUUUGGUUGAUAGUAACUUCUAAAUAUUUAGAGUCACCUUUGUUAGACAUUGGUGACCUCCGAAAACGUAUUUUGGUUCUUUUAUUUGAUGUUUAGAGCACAAAUUAUAUAAGUCUUAUAAGAAAAAGUAUUGAAGAAGGGUUUUGGUAGCAAAGGGAGUAAUUAGGACACCAAUAUAGAUGAAUGGAGAUGAAUGAUGAAAAUCUCCAUUCCUAUUGGUCAAAAAUCAUGACCAAUGGGCUUUGAGGAGGCUGCCCGAGGCCAUAUUAGGAAUUAGGAUUAGUUUCUUGGGACCAUUUGAGUUUUGAAGGCUAGGGUCAGAAGGUUUAGGUUUUUGCCUAUGGUUUUGGUGCAAGUUUUGUAUGGUUUGGAGUUUAUAUGAAGGAGAUA
rnacentral:lncRNA from 1 species